GACGAACGCUGGCGGCGUGCCUAAUGCAUGCAAGUCGAACGCAUUCUUCGGAAUGAGUGGCGCACGGCUGAGGAACACGUGACUAACCUACCCCGGUGUGGGGGAUAACGGGUCGAAAGACUCGCUAAUCCCGCAUACGAUCCGCCUCGGCGGAGGAAAGCGGUAACGCGCACUGGGCGGGGGUCGCGUCCCAUUAGAUAGUUGGUGUGGUAAUGGCGCACCAAGUCGAUGAUGGGUCUCUGGUCUGAGAGGACGACCAGACAGAUUGGGACUGAUACACGGCCCAAACUCCUACGGGGGGCAGUAGCAAGGAAUUUUCGGCAAUGGGCGCAAGCCUGACCGAGCAACGCCGCGUGGAGGAUGACGGCUCUUGGGUUGUAAACUCCUUUUGGGGGGGACGAUAAUGACGGUACCCUCCGAAUCAGGCCCGGCUAACUACGUGCCAGCAGCCGCCGUAACAC
rnacentral:rRNA from 1 species